GAUGAAGAACGUAGUGAAAUGCGAUAAGUAAUGUGAAUUGCAGAAUUCAGUGAAUCUUCGAAUCUUUGAACGCACAUUGCGCCCCCUGGUAUUCCGGGGGGCAUGCCUGUUCGAGCGUCAUUUCACCACUCAAGCCUCGCUUGGUAUUGGGCAACGCGGUCCGCCGCGUGCCUCAAAUCGACCGGCUGGGUCUUCUGUCCCCUAAGCGUUGUGGAAACUAUUCGCUAAAGGGUGUUCGGGAGGCUACGCCGUAAAACAACCCCAUUUCUAAGGUUGACCUCGGAUCAGGUAGGGAUACCCGCUGAACUUAAGCAUAUCAAUAAGCGGAGGA
rnacentral:misc_RNA from 1 species